AUCCUCCUCGGGGAGCGCGUCGGGGUGAGGAACGGCUGCGGAUAAUGACCCUCGAAGUUUGCGUCCUUCGACAGAUCAAGCGAUUUGGCUUACAAGGGAUCGGAUCAGCCGAGUUAAAAAACCUUUACUGUAGAAUCGGUUCGGCUGGAUGAGCCGAAUGUAUGAACUGUGCAGGGAUCAAUGUCGGCAGAAGAGCCGAAUAGAAGAAGUACACAAUAACUGGUCGGCUGAAAGAGCUGAAUAAAUGAAAUAUAUAAUGACUGGUCGGUUGAAAGAGCCGAAUGCCUAAAUAUAUAUAUUAAUUA
rnacentral:lncRNA from 1 species